GUAUUGGUUUGCAGGAUAGGAAUGAACCACAGCACUCUGCUAAGCUUUUACUGUUUAGAGGCUUCGAGAGGUUGCAAGACUCGGCUAAAAGAGUUUCUGUGUGUAACCCUGACUGUUCUGGAACCUUCUCUGAAGACCAGGCUGGCCUUGAACUCACAGAGAUCCACCUACUUCUGUCUGCCAAGUGCUGGGAUUGAAGGCGUGUGCCACCACUAACAGGAUCAUGGUAGUAUAUUCUUGUAAGCCCAGCAUUCAGGACACUGACGCAGGACUACCACAGACUGUGUCUGGCCAGAGUUAUACACUGCUAUUGACUCCUUGUUCAGUUGAAGAAUGAAGAAAAUGUUAACUAUGGACACAUAUGAAAAUUUCUUUACAAAUUUGAA